rnacentral:rRNA from 1 species
CACGUAGGGCGCAAGCGUUGUCCGGAAUUAUUGGGCGUAAAGAGCUCGUAGGCGGUCUGUUGCGUCCGCUGUGAAAACUCGGGGCUUAACCCCGGGUCUGCAUUCGAUACGGGCUUGCUAGGGUCCGGCAGGGGAGACUGGAAUUCCGGGUGUAGCGGUGGAAUGCGUAGAGAUCCGGAAGAACACCAGUGGCGAAGGCGGCCCGCUGGGCAGUGGCUGACGCUGAGGCGCGACAGCGUGGGGAGCAAACAGG